rnacentral:rRNA from 1 species
UACGGGGGGGGCAAGCGUUGUUCGGAAUUACUGGGCGUAAAGGGCUCGUAGGCGGCCAACUAAGUCAGACGUGAAAUCCCUCGGCUUAACUGGGGAACUGCGUCUGAUACUGGAUGGCUUGAGUUUGGGAGAGGGAUGCGGAAUUCCAGGUGUAGCGGUGAAAUGCGUAGAUAUCUGGAGGAACACCGGUGGCGAAGGCGGCAUCCUGGACCGGCAUUGACGCUGAGGCGCGAAAGCCAGGGGAGCAAACGGG